GCCGCGGUGGCGAAAUGGUAGACGCACUUGCUUUAGGAGCAAGCAGGGCAACCUAUGAGAGUUCGAGUCUCUCCCGCGGCA
rnacentral:tRNA from 1 species